rnacentral:piRNA from 1 species
AUGUGGUUCCCUGAUGGUUAGUG